rnacentral:lncRNA from 1 species
UUCUUAAUUAAAAGAAAGCUGAUGAGAGAGAGAGAGAGAGAGAGAGAGAGAGAGAGAGAGAGAGAGAGAGAGAGAGAGAGAGAGAGAGAGAGAGAGAGAGACUGAGACUCUCAUAUAGAGUAUGUCUCUGAAUCCAGCAUUUCUGAAUGAUCAGAGUAUACUGAGCUUGGUGUAUAUAGUUGUCAUUCAGAUUUACUCUUCAAUAUAAGUAGAUAACUACACAUUGCCAGACAUCAAGGAAGUCCUGUCAUGUAAAUGAAUGAUCUAUCUAGAUUUUCAAAAGUGUAUAAUAGGUUUGUGUAAACAAAUCCCAAGAGAUAGAAUAAUGUUUUGAUAACCUCUAACUAAUACUUUGAGAUUAGUUAGAUAAAUGUGCACCAGUGAAACAAAAAAUAGGAUACACAAUGUUAAAACAGCUAUCAAAUUAAGGAAAACUCUCUUGCAAGUACAGUAAGUUAAAAAUAUUAGGACGGUGGAUAAUUAAUGGAAGUAAAGUUUUAGAAAGUAAAAUUAAGAGAAAAAAAACAUGAAUAGCAUGGAUAGAGGACAAAAUCUGACCAGUCCAGGAACUUUACUGUUCAGUAAUUAUAUAAGGAAAAAUAAAGGAGGAAAUGUUAGUGAUCUUAGUGUUACAGACACACACACACACACACACACACACACACACACACUCCUCAAAACAAAACAAAACAUCAACAGCAAAAAUUUGUUUGAAAUAAUAAGCAUUUUAAAAGUGCAGUUAUUCCAUUAUUUAAAACAUUUACCAUCAAUUUGAAAUGUGUUGUAUAUUUUGUUAGUUAUUUACAGAAUGUCUGUAGAGGUAGAUGGCAUGUUAUCCAGCUAGUGUUUGUUCAGUGUAAUUUGGAAGUGGUUGUGCACACAGAUGCCUGUCCCACCAUGGUUCCACUUUGAUAUCUCACACUUUCUAACUCUAUAGGUUGUUUGAGAGUUUUCUCUUUUUUUUAUAUCUAGUUCACCUUUAUUAAUUUUUUAAUAUUUGAUCUUAUAAUAUACUUACCUCAUUUCUCCCUUCCCUCUCCGUCCUCCAAUAUUACCUGUAGAGUUUGGAGAUUAGUGAACAGAACAUGUCUAGGAAAAUAUAAAAGUGAUAAAUAAAAAUAGAGUUAUAAAAAUAAAUAUAAAACUUUUCCAUAAUUUCCUAAUUUAAAAUAUAAAUUGCUGUUAUUUUAGUUUCAUUUUAUUUUUAAACCUAUUUGUAAUACAGAUCAUUUCCUUUCUUUAAUAGUUGAUUGUAACAGCACUGCCCAUGUGCAGUUUGAUGGGGAUCAUGAACUUUGAGGGUAGUGGAGAUGAUUGACACAAUUCUUGCAAAGAACUUAGAGAUCAUUGAAUGUUUAGUCACAGUGUCUUCAGUGAAGCAUUGUACGUAAUGAAAAUAAAGACAAAGAUUUGGACAUUUGGUGAAAUAAUAAUGGUAUAGUUAUCUAUUGCCAAGAUGCCAUAAAUGUAGACCUUCUGUGCUAAUGGUGAAUGAAGUAGUCUUACUUGCAUAGGUUGACUACUUUCUUUUAUGUACUAAUGUGUUCCUCCAAGGAAAAUAAGGAUGUCAUUUUUAGUCAUGAAUACAGGGAGCAGGGUAUGAUUUGUGUAGAGUAGGAACUCAUUAAGAUUGAUAGAUGAGCCUGCUGCCACAGGGUUGUGAUCCCAUGUCCUCAGGAGGCUGAGGGAAGAGGAUUGCAAGGUUAAGGACCAAGUGGACUAGAGUUCAAUUAAAGCAGUCUGUGCGCAACUUUGUGAGGCUCUGUCUCAAAAUACAAAGUAAAAAGAAAGCUGCUGUAUAGUUUAGAGGUAAAGAACUUGCCUAGCAUGGAGGAGGUUAUAUGUUCAAAUAGAAACAUAUGACUAAAAUACAUGAUGAUAACCCACAAUCUUGUGGGUCAUUGCAUUGGAGCUGUCAUGGUAGCAGAAUUCCCAUUUGAGAAAAGUCUAAGACACUGUCAAUUGAUCUCUUGUUUAUAGUCCAAAGAGGACUUCUGGCAGGCAGAGAGGAUUCAUUUUCUUCUUACUAUGUACAAAGCUUUAUUCUAUUGACUAGAUUAUAUCUCCUACAUAACCUCCUAAUAUUUUUAGAUCUUCUAUAAUUUUACUAUUAAUAUAUACCCAUAAUAUUUUAUAAGUUUGAAAUACAUAGAAUUUUAUAUUAUAAUAGUUUAUUAAACACAAUUAGUAAAUGUCCUAUUUUAAUAUUUCUUCAUUUUAAAAUAUGUCAUGUGCUAAAAAUGUAAAAACUAUGGAUAUGCCCUGGGUUUUCUUUUGCUAUUUAAAGCUAUUCUUAAAAACUAAGUUGCUCUUUGGAAAUGCUUACGUAUUGAUAACAUAGUGAUGGAGUAUAACAUUCAAUUUUGCCAAAUCAAAUUACAUAAGUGCACAAAAAUAGAAAAAAAAUCUUGAGACGUCUGCAUGACUCUAAAUAAUUAGCUGUCAGAUUCACAAUCACACAGUGAUCAUAUUGGGCAAUAGUUUAUGCAUCCGUAAUAAAAUACAAUUAAGUCUGUAAGUAUGUGUAGUGCAAAUGACAUUUUCUGUAUGCCAUAUCCCAGUGUUGCUUUUAUAUAAAGUGCCAUGAUCAACUGUUUAUGUUAUAAUGUGAAAUUCUUUAUUCUUUCCUCACCAAGUUGUGCAGAGCUCUUACCAAGUGGCAAAUUCAUAAAGAAAUGAGUUCUAAUUGUUUUGAAUAAAUUUCCCGAGCUUCUUCUAGAUACUUUCUCAUGCUUAAGCUUUUGCUUUCCUGGUGAUCUCAGGGGGGUGAUCCUGCAGGAUUAGGGGAGAGAGAGAGAGAGAGAGAGGGAGAGAGAGAGAGAGAGAGAGAGAGAGAAUGUGUUGCUUUUUCGGGGAUCAGGAAUGUGUGUGUUUGUAGGGGGUGUGAUUCUUCAGUGGUUCCUACUUGCUUCUCUCAAGAAAGAUAAAGCAGGGCUCAGAAGCCGCAAGCUAGGGCCUUGGCAAAGUGUUUUGGUUGUUUAGCUUUUUUUGUCCCUGUAGUACUUACAGCAAUGGAAGCACAUUGUGCCUGAUUCUUUUGCAUGUUGCUUGGAGCCUUUCUCACCAUGCUUUGAGUCAUCCAGCUUGAUUGGAGGCUUUGUGCUUAUUCUUCCAUCUUAAGCUGUGUUCAGUUUGUAUCACUGUGAAGCUUGCUCUUUUCUGAAAGGAAAUGGAGCAGCACUGGAUUUGGGGAAGAGAGAAAAGGGGUGUGUGUGUGUGUGUGUGAGUGUGUGUGUGUGUCUGUGUGUGUGUGUGUCUGUAUGUGUGUGUGUGUCUGUGUGUGUGUAUAUAUAUAGGGAAGACUCUGGGAGGGAAGAAGUGAGAGAUGUUUGGGUUGUAUGAGAGAAGAGUAAAUAAAAAGAAAAAAGGAAAGCGACUAAAAAUUUCAGUUACUUGGAAAUCAUUAUGUUUUAAAUUUAUUGUGAUACUAUAAAUCUGUUAUUUUCAGGCACUUAAAAUGGCACUUAAAUAAGCCUGUUCUAAAUGCUUUGCAAUAGAAGCUUCUUUAGUGAGUGUAUCAAUCAUAUGAAGUAGAUCCUCUUACCACUCACACAUUAUAGACACGGGAUAAAUGGAGAAGAAACUACAGAGCCAGUCAGUGGCCACUGGAUUAUUAGCUUCACUUUAUUACUUCAGAUAUGUUGAUAUCUAUAUUUGCUUUUACUUUAGAGUGACACCUUUGUGAUUGCAAAUAUUAUAUUGAAAUAGAUAAGAAUAUAAGAUCAUUCCAAAAAGAUAAAGUCUAGAUGUCUUUAGUGAUAAUUGACACAGACAUAGCUACCUGAUUGCUACAUGGCUUGGUUGCUGCAGAGGUCCUCAUGAAAUGUCACUCAUUCCUUCAGUUUUUAUAUAUGUCUUGUUUAUUGGAAGUCCAACUAACUUCAAUAAAUAAAGCAUAUUUCAUACUUUGUCUUUAAAUCUGCCCAUGUUUGGCACAGCAAACUUCCAUUUUGCUGACUGCAGCAAUUUGAAAGCAUUAUUAUCAUAAAUUGUGGUUUGACAUUUAUCUUUAAAAUAGUCUUUUCAUGUAGUUAUUGAAUGCAAGUACUCAUAUAGAAGUUCAAUUAUUUUUUUUAACACAUUUGCAGUUUGGCUGAAGUGCCCAACUAUCUUUUGUUGUCUUUUUACUAAACCACUAUGAUUUUUGUAAAUGCCACUGAGAUAUUCACUAGUCAGUCAUGGGGGUGAGAAUAAAGUUAAAGAAAUUGUAUUUUGUUUCUUAAUUGUUUGAUUUCUUGUUUUAAUAAUUGUCAAAAUAUAAUAAUAACCUAUAAAACUGACCAAUGUCAGUUACCUCCUGACUAUUUUCCUGACUAUUUUGUUUAUUGUUGAAGAGAUAAAUGUAUUUAGGAGGCAUUUGAUUAAUGCUUCUUGUGUAUCUACUAAAACAUGUUAUAGGAUGGAGUCUGUUCAUCACCUUUUCCAUUGUGUUUAACAUACCUUUUCUCUAUACAUUUUGAAAGUUAUUUUGUUUCUGGGAACAUAAAUAAAGAACAGAUGGCUGUUCACACCUCAGUAGGAAUACCAGGGGACAGAGGACUUUCAUCAUGUCCCUGUGGUCCCGUGCUGGCUCUCAUGUGGUGGACAUCUGUGUCUGUUUGGAAUAGUUCCUGCUGCUGUUUGGAGCCUCCUGGGGCUGGUGUCAGUCCUCCUUUCCUUAUUUUAAGGCAGCUAGGGUUUCUUAGCCAUUUAAUAAUCUGUAGACAAGUCCAAAAUAUAUCCGAACAAGAGAGUCUUAUACGUACCAAGCCUGCUACUCUUGUUUAGGAAUGUCUUGUAUAUCUAUAUAAACUUUCCUCAUUCACAGCUAUUAUGUUUAGCUAUCUUUUUAUACUUUUAAUCCUCCUGACAGAGCACUGCCCAUGAUUCCAAUCGUUACAUUUGGUUAUUUUUCUGAACUUAUCCAAAUCACAUUGCUCUGUACUGUAUCGGAGAACAUUGUAACUAUGAAAAAUGUUAUAAGCUGGUAAAAAGCUUAUUAUUUUUUAAAUGUUCAGAAUUGCUAAGAUCUUAGAAAAUUCAACCAGCAUAUACAAAGUCAUCUACUGGAGUAUUAGUGAAAUGUC